rnacentral:lncRNA from 1 species
CUGGGGAUCUCAUCCAGCCCAUGCCUGCCUCCUGCUUCCACACAGCCAUCCUGCCGCAGCUCCACUCUCCAGGUUGGGAUGCAAGUUCCUGACCAGCGUUGUCUUCUGGGACAUUGACACAGCAGUCGAGUUUCCUGGUGCUGGAACCUCCAUAGCUGCUGUGAUGACAACGGGGUCUGGCAUUAGAAUUGUGUUUGCUUACUCGAUUAUGACUGCCAGGAACCCACUGUCUGUGAAGCCCCAUGGGAGGCCCUGGGGCUCUUCUGUUUGUGAGGCUUUACAAGGUCAAGCAGCCAAGCCAGCUGUGUUGCCUCUGCCGGACUUAGUGUUAGGUGAGAUAAGUCAGGUUGGCCAUUAGAACAUUUCUCUGUAAUAGAACAUUUAGGUAGAAACAGGCUCCCCUAGCACCUGCUACAACUGAUGGCUUCUUGGGCUGCUCACGCCAAAUUCGUAUGCUCAGCUCUCAAACCAGAAUUUUACAAAUGACUACUCUCUGAUUUUCUCUUGUUUGCCUUUUAUAUUCUGUUCCAUAUCCUUACCACUUACAACUUGCUGUGUUUGUGCUUUGCACUAAAAAUGUUACCCCAGGUUACUUGUGGAAUGCAAAAGUAUAAACCAUCAGAACAUGCAUGUAGCAAUACACGUAUGUUGCCUGUAUUAUAUAUUUAAAUUGUGUAACAGACAUAUAGUGUACAUGCAUGUGUGUAUGACAUUUGUCUAUAGUAGAAAGUAUAGCCUUAAAUGUGACAAAAAGAAAAAAAAUCAGCUAAAUAAACAUUUCCUCUUAAAAAUUA